UAUAGUUCAAUGCGAGCUGAGCAGACAGGGCUGUAAGGAAAUCUGGCGCGGUUCAAUACCUCGUCUAGCCUGGGUUCCAGUAUCUAAUUUUUUUUUACUGACAAACUCAUUUCUCUACUGGGACAGGAUGCUGUGCUGGCUGGAAGUUCCAUUUCUACAGCGAGAAUCCUAUCUGGAAACACAGAAGUUGUCCUCUAGCGACAGCAGCUCGAACUUUUUUGAUUGUUGUUGCUGCUUUUCUCCCAUCACCCCCAUCCCCUUUUGACAAAGAUCCAACUGUAAAAAGUCUUACGUAACAGUUCAGGACUACUUCGGUUCUUUUACUGGUAUAUCAAGAGGCUUCAAGAGGAGUAUGAAAACAUCUACAUCUCCAAGUUGGAGCAAUGUGGGUUUCAAUAUUUUGUAGCACAUCUGCAAAAGAAAAGAAAGGAGAUUCAUGUCUACAAACAUUGGACACCAAAA